AGUGAACGCUGGCGGUAGGCCUAACACAUGCAAGUCGAACGGCAGCACAGUAAGAGCUUGCUCUUACGGGUGGCGAGUGGCGGACGGGUGAGGAAUACAUCGGAAUCUACUUUUUCGUGGGGGAUAACGUAGGGAAACUUACGCCAAUACCGCAUACGACCUACGGGUGAAAGCAGGGGAUCUUCGGACCUUGCGCGAUUCAAUGAGCCGAUGUCGGAUUAGCUAGUUGGCGGGGUAAAGGCCCACCAAGGCGACGAUCCGUAGCUGGUCUGAGAGGAUGAUCAGCCACACUGGAACUGAGACACGGUCCAGACUCCUACGGGAGGCAGCAGUGGGGAAUAUUGGACAAUGGGCGCAAGCCUGAUCCAGCCAUACCGCGUGGGUGAAGAAGGCCUUCGGGUUGUAAAGCCCUUUUGUUGGGAAAGAAAAGCAGCAGGUUAAUACCCCGCUGUUCUGACGGUACCCAAAGAAUAAGCACCGGCUAACUUCGUG
rnacentral:rRNA from 1 species